GUUAGGGUGGCAGAGCCAAGUACAUGCAAAAGACCUAAGACCUUUUAAACAGAAGUUCAAAUCUUCUCCCUAACC
rnacentral:tRNA from 1 species